rnacentral:lncRNA from 1 species
UUUAUUUUCGUGCCCUCCUCCACCACACCUAUCCACGUGGGGAUAGCACAGACCUGGUCUCCAGCCUGCGUCGCCCUACAGGCGGCAUCCUGUCCCUCCCUCCCCACCCUCCACCCUCCACGGAGCUCUGUGCUCCCGUUCGCAGCUCCCUGCAGGCCUGCCCGCCUCAGCCCUUCCCCAGCCCAGCCCGGCGUCCCCUGCCGGCCGCGCCCUGGAGCCCCCGCUCUUCCCCAGCGCCCCGGCCAGAGCAUCCUGGGGGAGCCGCGCGCACCUCGCAGAGAGGCCGGCCUCGUCCCGACAGCUCCUGAGGUUCCGCCUCGCGCUCUCGGGACUCCCGUUCCAGCGUCCCCGAGUCAUGGGCUCUGCGCGCUUUAUUCCCCACAUGAAACCCCGGUCCGUGGCCAUCAAACCGAGCGCCUUUUCACGGCGAAACCCGGGGCGGGAAAAGACGGGAACGCGUCCCUCGAAGGGGCCGGCGCCAGCGCCGCGUGGGUUCCCGGCAGCGCUACGCCGGGCCAGGAUGGGCAGGAAGCGCGCCCAAGGGCGCGGGAAGACGGCUGCCGCGAGCGCCGCGGGGGCCUUUCACACGGUAGGGACUGCAACGCCGCGGGAAACGCGCCGGGAAAGCGUCUCCGACGAACGGGGCGAAGGCGCACCCUGAGAAGGCGCUGCAGGCCACCCGCGCCACGCCCCCGGCCCCGGCCGCGCCGGAAACUGGCGCUAGACGGCACAGCCCCCCGAAUACCGGCCGCCCGCCCCAAGCCACCCUGUCCGGGAGGACGCGGGGGCCACUCAAGGAUCCAGCCUGGGGUCCAGCGCCCGCCACGCCCCGCUCCGCGCAGCCACGCCACGCCCUCGUGUCCCCGCCCGGCAGCCACACCCCGCCCCGGCGUGCACUGCGAGCAACCCGCCCCCCCCGACGCAGGCGCAGCCCCGCCCCGGCCCGCCCGAGAGGCGCCGCGCGUCUCGGCCGCUGAUUGGCUGUGGCCGCGGUGGGGGUCGGGCCCUGGCGGAGAGCGGCGGAUUCAAGAUGGCGGCGGCCAGGAGGCGGCUUCCAGCGGAGCCGGCGGGAAAGCGAGACCUCGGCCGCGGCUUCCGCCGGACAGCGUCCGCUCCUGGCAGGGGGCGGUGGCGGGCACCGGAGCCGCCCUUAGGACUUCACGCCGCAGCAGCUAG